rnacentral:tRNA from 1 species
AUUUCGGUAGCUUAGUUGGUAAAGCGCUCGUCUAGAUGCAAGAGUCCUGGGCUCAAAUCCCAGCCGAGAAA